CUCGCUGUAAAGCCAGCAGAGCAAUAGCCGCUGACAUGCUCUGCGCAGCUCUCAAGAGCUGUGGAGAGCGUGUCAGAGGCUCUUGCUCUGCUGGCUUUACAGCGAG